UACGUAGGGUGCAAGCGUUGUCCGGAAUUAUUGGGCGUAAAGAGCUCGUAGGCGGUUUGUCGCGUCGGCUGUGAAAAACCUGGGGCUCAACCCCGGGCCUGCAGCCGAUACGGGCAAACUAGAAUUCGGUAGGGGAGACUGGAAUUCCUGGUGUAGCGGUGAAAUGACGCAGAUAUCAGGAGGAACACCGGUGGCGAAGGCGGGUCUCUGGGCCGAUAUUGACGCUGAGGAGCGAAAGCGUGGGGGAGCAAACAGG
rnacentral:rRNA from 1 species